rnacentral:rRNA from 1 species
UCGAGGAUCUUCGGCAAUGGGCGCAAGCCUGACCGAGCGACGCCGCGUGCGGGAUGAAGGCCUUCGGGUUGUAAACCGCUGUCAGAGGGGAGGAAAUGCCGGGAAGUAAUUCAUAAUCAACCCGGUUUGACCUAUCCUCAGAGGAAGGACGGGCUAAGUUCGUGCCAGCAGCCGCGGUAAUACGAACCGUCCAAACGUGAUUCGGAAUCACUGGGCUUAAAGGGUGCGUAGGCGGCUCGAAAAGUUGGGUGUGAAAGCCCUCGGCUCAACCGAGGAAUUGCGCCCAAAACUGCCGGGCUUGAGGGAGACAGAGGUGAGCGGAACUUAGGGUGGAGCGGUGAAAUGCGUUGAUAUCCUAAGGAACACCAGUAGCGUAAGCGGCUCACUGGGUCUCUUCUGACGCUGAGGCACGAAAGCUAGGGGAGCGAAGA